rnacentral:rRNA from 1 species
AUACAUGCAAGUCGAGCGGAUCUCUUCGGAGGUCAGCGGCGGACGGGUGAGUAACACGUGGGCAACCUGCCUGUAAGACUGGGAUAACUCCGGGAAACCGGAGCUAAUACCGGAUAUUAUUUCAAACCGCAUGGUUUGAAAUUCAAAGACGGUUUCGGCUGUCACUUACAGAUGGGCCCGCGGCGCAUUAGCUAGUUGGUGAGGUAAUGGCUCACCAAGGCAACGAUGCGUAGCCGACCUGAGAGGGUGAUCGGCCACACUGGGACUGAGACACGGCCCAGACUCCUACGGGAGGCAGCAGUAGGGAAUCUUCCGCAAUGGACGAAAGUCUGACGGAGCAACGCCGCGUGAGUGAUGAAGGUUUUCGGAUCGUAAAACUCUGUUGUCAGGGAAGAACAAGUGCCGGAGUAACUGCCGGCGCCUUGACGGUACCUGACCAGAAAGCCACGGCUAACUACGUGCCAGCAGCCGCGGUGAUACGUAGGUGGCAAGCGUUGUCCGGAAUUAUUGGGCGUAAAGCGCGCGCAGGCGGUUUCUUAAGUCUGAUGUGAAAGCCCCCGGCUCAACCGGGGAGGGUCAUUGGAAAACUGGGAAACUUGAGUGCAGAAGAGGAGAGU